rnacentral:rRNA from 1 species
AGCGAACGCUGGCGGCGUGCCUAACACAUGCAAGUCGAACGAGGUCCAAGGGAGCUUGCUCCCUGAAGACCUAGUGGCGAACGGGUGAGUAACACGUGAGAAACCUGCCCUCGAGUGGGGAAUAACCCGGGGAAACCCGGGCUAAUACCGCAUACGCUCCUCUGGUCGCAUGGCCGGAGGAGGAAAGUUUUUCGCUCAAGGAGGGUCUCGCGGCCUAUCAGCUUGUUGGCGGGGUAACGGCCCACCAAGGCUACGACGGGUAGCUGGUUUGAGAGAACGAUCAGCCACACUGGGACUGAGACACGGCCCAGACUCCUACGGGAGGCAGCAGUGGGGAAUCUUGCGCAAUGGGCGAAAGCCUGACGCAGCAACGCCGCGUGCGGGAUGACGGCCUUCGUGGUUGUAAACCGCUUUCAGCAGGGACGAAAAUGACGGUACCUGCAGAAGAAGCUCCGGCUAACUACGUGCCAGCCGCCGCAGUAA